rnacentral:rRNA from 1 species
UCAACUUGAGAGUUUGAUUCUGGCUCAGAACGAACGCUGGCGGCAGGCUUAACACAUGCAAGUCGAACGAUAUAGUGGCAGACGGGUGAGUAACGCGUGGGAACGUACCUUUCACUACGGAAUAGCUCUUGGAAACGAGUGGUAAUACCGUAUACGCCCUUCGGGGGAAAGAUUUAUCGGUGAAAGAUCGGCCCGCGUUAGAUUAGCUAGUUGGUAGGGUAAUGGCCUACCAAGGCGACGAUCUAUAGCUGGUCUGAGAGGAUGAUC